AGAGAACGCGGGCGGCGCCCAAACACAUGCAUGUCGAACGAUGAACUCCUAGCUUGCUAGGAUGGAUUAGUGGCGCACGGGUGAGUAAUAUAUAGUUAAUCUGCCCUACACAGAGGAACAACAGUGGGAAACGGCUGCUAAUACCUCAUACUCCUAUUUGACAUAAGUUAAAUAGGGAAAGUCUUUUCGGUGUAGGAUGAGACUAUAUCGUAUCAGCUAGUUGGUAAGGUAAUCGCUUCCCAAGGCUAUGACGCGUAACUGGUCUGAGAGGAUGAUCAGUCACAUUGGAACUGAGACACGGUCCAAACUCCUACGGGAGGCAGCAGUAAGGAAUAUUGCGCAAUGGGGGAAACCCUGACGCAGCAACGCCGCGUGGAGGAUGACACUUUUCGGAGCGUAAACUCCUUUUAUCAGGAAAGAAUAAUGACGGUACCUGAUGAAUAAGCACCGGCUAACUCCGUGCCAGCAGCCGCGGUAAUACGGGGGGUGCAAGCGUUACUCGGAAUCACUGGGCGUAAAGGACGCGUAGGCGGAUUAUCAAGUCUUUUGUGAAAUCUAGUGGCUUAACCACUAAACUGCUUAGGAAACUGAUAGUCUAGAGUAGGGGAGAGGUAGAUGGAAUUCUUGGUGUAGGGGUAAAAUCCGUAGAGAUCAAGAAGAAUACCCAUUGCGAAAGCGAUCUGCUGGAACCUAACUGACGCUGAGGCGUGAAAGCGUGGGUAGCAAACAGG
rnacentral:rRNA from 1 species